CAGCAGUCGCCGCGGUAAUACAGAGGGUGCGAGCGUUAAUCGGAUUUACUGGGCGUAAAGCGUGCGUAGGCGGCUUUUUAAGUCGGAUGUGAAAUCCCUGAGCUUAACUUAGGAAUUGCAUUCGAUACUGGGAAGCUAGAGUAUGGGAGAGGAUGGUAGAAUUCCAGGUGUAGCGGUGAAAUGCGUAGAGAUCUGGAGGAAUACCGAUGGCGAAGGCAGCCAUCUGGCCUAAUACUGACGCUGAGGUACGAAAGCAUGGGGAGCAAACAGGAUUAGAUACCCCAGUAGUCCCUGUCUCUUAUAC
rnacentral:rRNA from 1 species